UGGCCUUUCUGAGGGUGAAAAGUUUUGUCCGCUCCAGAACAAAAUAAAAAGAUAAAGAAAAGCAAAUUAACAGACGCAUCAACUGCUGCUGUGUGGCGUCUGUUGCUUAAUCCGAAUUCAGACGGUCACCUGGUGAAAAUAUUGAGCAGAAACCACUCGGCCAAAAGCCUUGUGGAAGAGGAAGAGGACCAGGCGUCGUCAGUUAAGACUUCGUGUCAUCCUCCCAGGUGCCCGGGGGGUGCCACGGUCCAAUGUGACAACAGCCCUAAUGAGCUCGCCGGAGUGGGUGACCCUGUCGCCUAGCGGGGGAAGUGCUGUCACCAUAGCGACAAAGAGGAUCUAAGUCAUGGCGUCAUACAGGUGCAUGAACAUCGAAAGGGAAAAUGGACACCAAAUAAGGAAAGAAGAAGACAAAGGGUGGGAACAAAGGUUAAGCGGAGACAACGCGUAGAAAAAGACUGCCAUGGCAACCUGCCGCAGAUCUGAAAAGUGAAGAGCAGGACAGCACUGUCGGUCGUUCACAAGACGAGCUUCAGGGAAAAAUGUGUGCAGCAAAUACCUGAUGAAACAAAAGUUGGGCAAAACUGGUGAUGCGAGACAGUGCUGUUAGGAACUCCGGUUGGGAGCGAGAGUGUAUGCUGUUUGGAACUCCGGUUUUAGUAGCAGAUAUUCAAGACUCGCUCAAAGGGAAUUUGGCGACGAGGACUGUGCGUUCAAUUGGAGGUCAUCUCGGGCCAGUGCUGCACACUUGGCGUGCAAUAGCGGAUUGUUUAUGGUUCAAAGGCAGCGCUCAACCAUGUCUCUUCGCAUGAUUCUUCCUCUAAAAGACACGAUAAAGUUGAAAGGAAAAAAAAAGGCCCGAUCAAAGCAAUUCUCACCCUGAAGCCAGACAUGUCUUUUCAAGUUGGAAGAGACGCCAGGGAGGAUAUGCUUGUUUUUUUUCCUGCAAAAGGAGAAGCAAGAAAGCAAGGCGGGAUUCACUCGUAGUUUAUACUUUGCUUCAAGUUGAAGGAGAGCAUGCUGAGUUCAAAAUGGAUGCACCACUGCCGCUUCUUUGUCGAUUCCACCCGACUUUGCAGAGUCACGCCGACGCGAGGACUUGGCCUCCACACGUCACGUGCAAUGGCCUACUGCAAGUAUCUCUUUUUUUUUUUCUAUUCAGGAGGAGGGGCAGCCUUCCUCUGUUUUUCCUCUUCUCGUUCCUUCCUGACCUUCAGGCAGCACACCUUUCUCCUCAUCAAUCCCGCCGCAAAUAAGAGGAGAAAGGUGAAGUUGAGCAGACGAAUGGGCCCCUCGUCAUUCCUGUGCUGAACGUUGACCAGAACGUUGGAAAUUCCACAUUGGCAUGAAAUGCAAAUGGAAGUAACUACGUUUUGUGUCGUCAAAGACAAUAUUUUGGGAAAUACAGCUACAAGUAGGCAUUUGUUGAAAUGCUAUUUUAGAAUGGUAUUUUAAAAUGAUUGUUUUACAACACAUUUAAACUAUAAUAGGCAGAAUUAUGAAGUACGUUAAAAUUUCAAACAUUUGGAAAAAGACAAUAUAAAAUAAAGAUGCUAUGUUUCUUGUAUAUUGGAAAAUGCAUGUGGUCAUAGUAAAUAUUAACUUAAAAAUCAGACAAUGAAUGAAAAUAACACAUGCAACUCAUAAUGAAUAUAUUAACAUCCAUAUAAUGCAUGGUAGAACAGACAAUUAUAAUACAGUAUAACCUUAUUACAACGAUAUUACAAAAUAUCAUUGAUAUUUUCAAAUUAAUAUGAGCCUAAAAGUCGGUGAAUGGAUAAACUUACGUUAUGUAAGU